rnacentral:rRNA from 1 species
GACGAACGCUGGCGGCGUGCUUAACACAUGCAAGUCGAACGGAAAGGCCCUGCUUUUGUGGGGUGCUCGAGUGGCGAACGGGUGAGUAACACGUGAGUAACCUGCCCUUGACUUUGGGAUAACUUCAGGAAACUGGGGCUAAUACCGGAUAGGAGCUCCUGCUGCAUUGUGGGGGUUGGAAAGUUUCGGCGGUUGGGGAUGGACUCGCGGCUCAUCAGCUUGUUGGUGGGGUAGUGGCUUACCAAGGCUUUGACGGGUAGCCGGCCUGAGAGGGUGACCGGCCACAUUGGGACUGAGAUACGGCCCAGACUCCUACGGGAGGCAGCAGUGGGGAAUAUUGCACAAUGGGCGGAAGCCUGAUGCAGCAACGCCGCGUGCGGGAUGACGGCCUUCGGGUUGUAAACCGCUUUCGCCUGUGACGAAGCGUGAGUGACGGUAACGGGUAAAGAAGCACCGGCUAACUACGUG